GACUUAAAAAAUCCGUCGACUUUAGAAAUCGUGAGGGUUCAAGUC
rnacentral:tRNA from 1 species